rnacentral:rRNA from 1 species
AGUGAACGCUGGCGGUAGGCCUAACACAUGCAAGUCGAACGGCAGCACAGUAAGAGCUUGCUCUUACGGGUGGCGAGUGGCGGACGGGUGAGGAAUACAUCGGAAUCUACUUUUUCGUGGGGGAUAACGUAGGGAAACUUACGCUAAUACCGCAUACGACCUACGGGUGAAAGCAGGGGAUCUUCGGACCUUGCGCGAUUGAAUGAGCCGAUGUCGGAUUAGCUAGUUGGCGGGGCAAAGGCCCACCAAGGCGACGAUCCGUAGCUGGUCUGAGAGGAUGAUCGGCCACACUGGAACUAAGACACGGUCCAGACUCCUACGGGAGGCAGCAGUGGGGAAUAUUGGACAAUGGGCGCAAGCCUGAUCCAGCCAUACCGCGUGGGUGAAGAAGGCCUUCGGGUUGUAAAGCCCUUUUGUUGGGAAAGAAAAGCAGCAGGUUAAUACCCCGCUGUUCUGACGGUACCCAAAGAAUAAGCACCGGCUAACUUCGUG